ensembl:lncRNA
UUACAUCUGUGCCCUCUUUAUUCCCUUUCUACUUCUCCUGCCUCAUCUCAUAUUUGAUCAUGUAUCUUUCUUGCUAGAAUCCCCCUGCUGUGUCUUCCUGCCUCUUUUCUGGCACCGCUCUCCUGGUGUUCGCACUCGGUGCCAGCAAGCUUUCGGAAGGACAGAACAACCUAAUGUGUCCUGUUACCACUGGCUCAGAUGAUGGGUACCUAUUGCCUCGUUUCCAGAUGAAGCAAGCUGUCGUGGGCGUUAAUGGUACUUC